GGGGGUGUAGCUCAGUGGUAGAGUGCAUGUCUAACAUGCACAAGGUCCUGGGUUCAAUCCCCAGUACCUCCA
rfam:Camelus ferus unplaced genomic scaffold scaffold138, whole genome shotgun sequence.